UGAAUACGAGAUGCUACGGCGUUGAAGCAGUCUAUGUCAUACUUCCAAGAAAAGCUUGCACUGUCACAAACAAAGAAUGCCUGUACCAUAACCGACACAGGUGGGUAGGUAGAGUAUACUAAGGGGCGCGAGAUAACUCUCUCUAAGGAACUCGGCAAAAUGACUCCGUAACUUCGGGAGAAGGAGUGCCUUAUUUUUAAGGUUGCAAUAACAAGAUCCAAGCAACUGUUUACCAAAAACACAGGUCUCCGCUAAGUCGUAAGACGAUGUAUGGGGGCUGACGCCUGCCCAGUGCCAGAAGGUUAAAGAAGUCGGUUAGCAUUCGCGAAGCUGAGAACUGAAGCCCUGGUGAACGGCGGCCGUAACUAUAACGGUCCUAAGGUAGCGAAAUUCCUUGUCGGGUAAGUUCCGACCCGCACGAAAGGCGUAAUGAUUUGGAUACUGUCUCGGAGAGGGGCUCGGUGAAAUAGACUUGUCUGUGAAGAUGCGGACUACCUGCACCUGGACAGAAAGACCCUAUGAAGCUUUACUGUAACUUGAGAUUGAAAUUGGACUUUAUUUGCGCAGUAUAGGUGGGAGGCGUUGAGAAUAAUCUUGCGGGAUUAUUGGAGCCAUCAGUGAGAUACCACUCUUGUAAUGUUAGAUUUCUAACUUUGUAUCAUUCUCUGGUCAAAGAACAGUUUCAGGCGGGCAGUUUGACUGGGGCGGUCGCCUCCCAAAGGGUAACGGAGGCGCACAAAGGUUUCCUCUGAACGGGUAGAAAUCGUAUCUAGAGUGUAAAGGCAUAAGGAAGCUUGACUGUGAGACCUACAAGUCGAGCAGGGACGAAAGUCGGUCUUAGUGAUCUGACGGUGCUGAGUGGAAAGGCCGUCACUCAACGGAUAAAAGUUACUCUAAGGAUAACAGGCUGAUCUCCCCCAAGAGUUCACAUCGACGGGGAGGUUUGGCACCUCGAUGUCGGCUCAUCGCAUCCUGGGGCGGUAGUACGUCCCAAGGGUUGGGCUGUUCGCCCAUGAAAGCGGUACGCGAGCUGGGUUCAGAACGUCGUGAGACAGUUCGGUCCAUAUCCGGUGUAGGCGUUAGAAUAUUGAGAGGAGCCUUCUCUAGUACGAGAGGACCGAGAAGGACAUACCUCUGGUGUACCAGUUAUCGUGCCAACGGUAAACGCUGGGUAGCUAUGUAUGGAGUGGAUAACCGCUGAAAGCAUCUAAGUGGGAAGCCCACCUCAAGAUAAGUAUUCUCAUCACGGAAGUGAAUAAGGUCACGGUAAGACUAACCGUUUGAUAGGCAUUAAGUGGAAAUCUAGUAAUAGAUGAGCUGAGAUGUACUAACAGAUCGAAGACUUGAAU
rnacentral:rRNA from 1 species